GACGAACGCUGGCGGCGUGCUUAACACAUGCAAGUCGACCGAUGAAGCCCUUCGGGGUGGAUUAGUGGCGAACGGGUGAGUAACACGUGGGCAAUCUGCCCUUCACUCUGGGACAAGCCCUGGAAACGGGGUCUAAUACCGGAUAACACUCUGUCCCGCAUGGGACGGGGUUGAAAGCUCCGGCGGUGAAGGAUGAGCCCGCGGCCUAUCAGCUUGUUGGUGGGGUGAUGGCCUACCAAGGCGACGACGGGUAGCCGGCCUGAGAGGGCGACCGGCCACACUGGGACUGAGACACGGCCCAGACUCCUACGGGAGGCAGCAGUGGGGAAUAUUGCACAAUGGGCGAAAGCCUGAUGCAGCGACGCCGCGUGAGGGAUGACGGCCUUCGGGUUGUAAACCUCUUUCAGCAGGGAAGAAGCGAAAGUGACGGUACCUGCAGAAGAAGCGCCGGCUAACUACGUGC
rnacentral:rRNA from 1 species